AUGAUGAAUGGAUUGCAUUUUUUUUUCUUUUAUUUUUAGAGAUUGGGUUUCUAUGUUACCCAGGCUGGUCUCAAACUCCUGGGCUCAAGCAGUCCUCCCACCAGAGCCUCCCAAAGUACUGGGAUCACAGGCAUGAGCCCCGCCCUCAAUUGCAGAUACUAACACAGAGGAGGGACAUAGCGUCUGUCAGUUGGGGAGUCAAAGCAGUUCCCCACGGAGACAAAGUCCCUGGGAAUCCAGCCAGUAGGUGAGGAGGGAGCAUGGGAAAAAGGCUGACAGCACCACUUUUGUGUCUAGAAUGUAUCCCUGGAAGAGGGAAAAAGGAUCUUUCAGCCCCAGGACCCUGCAGCUCCUGAAAGCUCUCGCCUCCUCGCCUGGCAGGGUCUGCACGCUGGAGGGAAGCAGCCCUCUUUGGAAUCCAAGUCUCCACCCAUGGCCUGGGAGGAUGGAAAUGAGCCCAAAGAUGUGCUGCAGAGCCAGAGACGUUGGGAGAGGCAGCAUGGAGACCACCGGAGCCAGGUGGGGGAUGGCAACUGAGCUGGAGGCAGUGCAGGCAUCAUUCAGGUGA
rnacentral:lncRNA from 13 species